ACAAACAGACAGACAGACAGUCAGACAGACAGACAGACAGACAGACAGAGGUGUUACUGCUGGGGAAUGAUCUGCUUCUAAUAAGGAAGUGUUGUGUCCUGGGUUGUUUUUGAGGUUUGAUUAUUCUGUGUUCCUUAGUCUUUCUUUUUUAUUACAUCAGUCUUGUUUCUGUUUUACUUUAGUUCAGUCCUUCAGUGAUUCUAGUUCAUUAUGUUUACUUCUUGUGUCCAGUUAUUCUUUGUUACUUCAGCUUAAUUAUAUUUCUUAGGUCUAGUUAUUCUUUACUGUUAGAUUUAUUUCCUUGCAUACUCUCCCUCGCCCACUGUGCCAUUUUCCCUCUCUCUCCUCACACCUGGAACCCAUUAGUUCAUCAGCCCAGGUCUUUUGUUCCAGUAUUUUAACCCUUCUCCUGCUCACACCCCUUUGCAUCCCAUCUCUUCUCUGAUUACCUGGAUGUUUUUUUCCCUUGGAGUUAUGUGUUUUGCUCUGCUCUGGCUCCCUGUGUUCUCCUUUGUUUUUUUAAGUUCUGAUAAUCAUUUUUUCAUUAAAACAUUCCUCAUCUAAGCUACCUCAGCCUCUCUGCAUUUGGGUCCACCAUCAAAAACACCUAUGAUGACAGGAAGCCUCUUUCGGUGGUGGAAUUUCUGAUAAGAAUCUGAAUAAUGGGAAGUGUUCAGAGGACAUGUUGUAUAAAAGAGCAUUGCAUCGAUAAGGCAGCAUAUCUCUAAGAUUUCCCACUGAACAGAGCCUGGUUUUACUUUCACUUUGUUUCCAAGUAACAGAAGUUAGCAACUCCCGG